ACCAGCGUUUUCAGUUGUAAUUGCGAGGUUUCCGGAAGAAGUCCAGCAACAACGGAGGUUCCUCGAUGAACCCACCUUCUAACAAGUAAUUUGAAGAACCUUUUGGGGUUGUUUUUAAUUGACAAGAACCCUACGGUUCUUAGGGGAUCUGAGAACAACUCCAGUUGAACCCUUCAUUUUUAGAGUGUAGUCGGCUCUAUUUACUCUCAGAUUCAAAUAUGCUGAUUAGCAUCAACGAUCAAGUCAGCUGCUGCUGCUCCAAUACUGUAUGAGCCUUCCUCUCCUCUGAAGACCCAGUGAGGGUGGAGCUCAGUCAGAGAGCUGUUGAGGGACUGGUUAGGAAGAACACUUUUACAGCCAGAGAGGGGCAGUCAAUAAAUGGAACGGCAAGGCCACAGAACAUGACAUAAUCAGAGCUGUGGGAGACCACCUCAAGCCCCUGGUAGAGCCGGGGGUGGUGUUUACCACUCCACCACGCCUUCAGCAGGCUUGAAAUGUGGGAUUGAUACUGUUUUUCAUACUAACAUGGACCAAGAGUCUGUUGAUUGAGAGUCUGUUAGUCAUUGGGUUCAUUUGACUUACAAUAUGUUCAUAUCAAGCUUUAUUUAUACAGCACAUUUCAGACAUGGAUGCAACCCAAUGGAAACAAGAAAAACUAAAGAAAAACCCACACCAAACUUAAAGACAGGAAGCAACCGAGCUAUACGUGCUAAAGUCAAACCUCAAAACCUAAAUGGAAAAACCAAAGCCUGUAACUACCUUCCCCCUUAAGACAACAAAUAUAUCCUAUAUUUUUGUUGGACAAGUUUGCUUACCACCAACUGAAAACAACUUCCAUUUCACAUUCUAAUCAACUACAAUGCUUCACUUUCACCAAUAUAAACAUGGUGUCUACUGGCUGUCAACAAUUAAAAACAAGAUAAAAACAGGCACUUCUAAAUAAUAAUAUACAACCGUAUCUUUUCUCCCUUUUCUUUCUAUAGAAUCCGAGAACUCUCGUCUUCCUUAAACUCACUAGCUUCUAGAACUCUCAUCUACCUACAACUCACUAGCUUCUAUUCCACUUGGAACGAGUCCAAACAAAACUCAUCUCCAAUACGGAAAAACGUGCAGUCAAAAUAAAUUGUGAUCAAAUGUACACCCCUUUUAUUAUGUGUUGGCAAUAAUGAACUUAAUGGUGAGGCAUGGAAUAAUAAAAAUGUCUAUUUUGUCAGCCAGAAUUUGUUGAAAUAUGAGGUGAUUUGAGUCAUGCUUCUUCAGUUGUGGAAUAAAGACAAUUGGCACUUGAAUGUUGUCAAGAAAUA